GAGGGUAGAGCUCAGUGGUAGAGUGCGUGCUUAGCAUGCAUGAGGUCCUGGGUUCAAUUCCCACUACCUCA
rnacentral:tRNA from 1 species